rnacentral:rRNA from 1 species
UACGAAGGUGGCAAGCGUUGUCCGGAAUUAUUGGGCGUAAAGAGCUCGUAGGCGGUUUGUUGCGUCGGCUGUGAAAUCCCGAGGCUCAACCUCGGGUCUGCAGUCGAUACGAGCAAACUAGAGUGUUGCAGGGGAGACUGGAAUUCCUGGUGUAGCGGCGAAAUGCGCAGAUAUCAGGAGGAACACCGGUGGCGAAGGCGGGUCUCUGGGCAACAACUGACGCUGAGGAGCGAAAGCGUGGUGAGCGAACAGG